AAGGAGCUGGUAUCAGGCACGCUCUGCGGCCCAUGACGCCUUGCUAAGCCACACCCCCAAGGGAAUUCAGCAGUGAUAAACAUUAAGCGAUAAGCGAAAGCUUGACUUACUCAAAGUUGAAACAGGGCUGGUAAAACUCGUGCCAGCCACCGCGGUUAGACGAAGUAGCCCAAGUUGACGAACAUCGGCGUAAAGAGUGGUCAAGGGCAGAAACAACUAAAGCCGAAGCUCCCCUCAACCGUUAUACGCAUUCGGAGGAGCGAAGUUCUACUACGAAAGUGGCUUUAUCCAACCUGAACCCACGACAGCUAAGGAACAAACUGGGAUUAGAUACCCCACUAUGCUUAGCCUCAAACUAUGAUGCUAAGGUACAACUAGCAUCCGCCAGGGAACUACAAGCACUAGCUUCAAACCCAAAGGACUUGGCGGUACCUCAGACCCCCCUAGAGGAGCCUGUUCUAGAACCGACAAUCCCCGUUCAACCUCACCACCUCUUGUUUUCCCU
rnacentral:rRNA from 1 species